rnacentral:rRNA from 1 species
UACGUAGGUGGCAAGCGUUAUCCGGAAUUAUUGGGCGUAAAGCGCGCGUAGGCGGUUUCUUAAGUCUGAUGUGAAAGCCCACGGCUCAACCGUGGAGGGUCAUUGGAAACUGGGAAACUUGAGUGCAGAAGAGGAAAGUGGAAUUCCAUGUGUAGCGGUGAAAUGCGCAGGGAUAUGGAGGAACACCAGUGGCGAAGGCGACUUUCUGGUCUGUAACUGACGCUGAUGUGCGAAAGCGUGGGGAUCAAACAGG